GGGUUGUGAGGUUAAGCGACUAAGCGUACACGGUGGAUGCCCUGGCAGUCAGAGGCGAUGAAGGACGUGCUAAUCUGCGAUAAGCGUCGGUGAGGUGAUAUGAACCGUUAUAACCGGCGAUUUCCGAAUGGGGAAACCCAGUGUGAUUCGUCACACUAUCAUUAACUGAAUCCAUAGGUUAAUGAGGCGAACCGGGGGAACUGAAACAUCUAAGUACCCCGAGGAAAAGAAAUCAACCGAGAUUCCCCCAGUAGCGGCGAGCGAACGGGGAGGAGCCCAGAGCCUGAAUCAGUGUGUGUGUUAGUGGAAGCGUCUGGAAAGGCGCGCGAUACAGGGUGACAGCCCCGUACACAAAAAUGCACAUAUUGUGAGCUCGAUGAGUAGGGCGGGACACGUGGUAUCCUGUCUGAAUAUGGGGGGACCAUCCUCCAAGGCUAAAUACUCCUGACUGACCGAUAGUGAACCAGUACCGUGAGGGAAAGGCGAAAAGAACCCCGGCGAGGGGAGUGAAAAAGAACCUGAAACCGUGUACGUACAAGCAGUGGGAGCCUCUUAAUGGGGUGACUGCGUACCUUUUGUAUAAUGGGUCAGCGACUUAUAUUCUGUAGUAAGUUAACCGAAUAGGGGAGCCG
rnacentral:rRNA from 1 species